rnacentral:rRNA from 1 species
UACAUGGGGUGCAAACGUUGCUCGGAAUUAUUGGGCGUAAAGCGCACGUAGGUGGUCUGUUAUGUCAGAUGUGAAAGCCCUCGGCUUAACUGAGGAAGUGCACCUGAAACUGGCAGGCUUGAGUACGAAAGAGGGUCGCGGAAUUCCCGGUGUAGAGGUGAAAUUCGUAGAUAUCGGGAGGAACACCGGUGGCGAAGGCGGCCCUCUGGACGGAUACUGACGCUGAGACGCGAAAGCGUGGGGAGCAAACAGG